rnacentral:lncRNA from 1 species
ACCUGGCUGGCCAGAUCGCCAGAGCCUGCGCCAUCUUCUGUGUGGAUGAGAUUGUGGUGUUCGAUGAGGAGGGCCAGGAUACCAAGUGAGUCUUUGGGGAGAGGGGAGGACCAGCAGGGUGGCUGUGGCUCUGUCCUGCUCCUCGUGCCCUGCCCGGCUGCCUGGGAGGAGCUCUCAAAGGCAGCUGCAGAUGAACCUUGUCUCUCCCUUGGUGCUAGAGAGUGGACUUGUUUUUGCCCAUGCUCUACUCUGAAGCACAUGACACUCAGCACUUCCCUGGUUGUGGGUUUGUGUAACAUUUCUUUACGGUGCUUGUAUACAAACACCAGUGUGGUUGUGGAGAUUGGAAUGCAGUUUGAGCUGAGCACUGGUGGCACACGCCUUUGAUCCCAGUACCCAGGAGGCAGAGGCAGGCGGGUCUCUGAGAGUUCAGGGACAGCCUGGUCUACAGAGCAAGGAGGACUGCCAGGGCUACACCAAGAAACCAGUCUCCAAAAAGAAGUGG